rnacentral:rRNA from 1 species
UACAGGUGGUCAGGUAGAGAAUACUAAGGCGAUCGAGAGAACUGUGGUUAAGGAACUCGGCAAAAUGCCCCCGUAACUUCGGGAGAAGGGGGACCAGUCCUGGUGACGACAUUUACUGUCUGAGCUGGGGUUGGUCGCAGAGACCAGAGAGAAGCGACUGUUUACUAAAAACACAGGUCCGUGCGAAGUCGCAAGACGAUGUAUACGGACUGACGCCUGCCCGGUGCUGGAAGGUUAAGAGGACCGGUCAGCCACUUCGGUGGCGAAGCUGAGAAUUUAAGCCCCAGUAAACGGCGGUGGUAACUAUAACCAUCCUAAGGUAGCGAAAUUCCUUGUCGGGUAAGUUCCGACCUGCACGGAUGGCGUAACGACUUCUCUGCUGUCUCAACCACAGACUCGGCGAAAUUGCAGUACGAGUAAAGAUGCUCGUUACGCGCGGCAGGACGAAAAGACCCCGGGACCUUCACUAUAGCUUGGUAUUGGUGUUCGGUUCGGUUUGUGUAGGAUAGGUGGGAGACUGUGAAACUCGCACGCCAGUGUGGGUGGAGUCAUUGUUGAAAUACCACUCUGACCGUAUUGGACAUCUAACCUCGGACCAUGAUCUGGUUCAGGGACAGUGCCUGGUGGGUAGUUUAACUGGGGCGGUUGCCUCCCAAAAAGUAACGGAGGCGCCCAAAGGUUCCCUCAGCCUGGUUGGCAAUCAGGUGUUGAGUGUAAGUGCACAAGGGAGCUUGACUGUGAGACGUACAUGUCGAGCAGGGACGAAAGUCGGGACUAGUGAUCCGGCACCGGCAAGUGGAAGCGGUGUCGCUCAACGGAUAAAAGGUACCCCGGGGAUAACAGGCUGAUCUUCCCCAAGAGUCCAUAUCGACGGGAUGGUUUGGCACCUCGAUGUCGGCUCGUCGCAUCCUGGGGCUGGAGUAGGUCCCAAGGGUUGGGCUGUUCGCCCAUUAAAGCGGCACGCGAGCUGGGUUUAGAACGUCGUGAGACAGUUCGGUCUCUAUCCGCCGCGCGCGUAAGAAACUUGAGGAAACCUGUCCCUAGUACGAGAGGACCGGGACGGACGAACCUCUGGUGUGCCAGUUGUUCCACCAGGAGCACCGCUGGUUAGCUACGUUCGGAAGGGAUAACCGCUGAAAGCAUCUAAGCGGGAAGCCUGUUCCAAGAUGAGGUUUCUCACCACCUAGCGUGGUUAAGGCCCCCCACAGACCAUGGGGUUGAUAGGCCAGAACUGUAAGCACAGCAAUGUGUUCAGGUGACUGGUACUAAUCGGCCGAGGACUUACC